GGUGGCUUAGUGGUAGAGCGCUUGGCUUGCAUGCAUGAGGUCCUGGGUUCGAUUCCUCAGCACCA
rnacentral:tRNA from 1 species